rnacentral:rRNA from 1 species
UACGGGGGGGGCAAGCGUUGUUCGGAAUUACUGGGCGUAAAGGGCGCGUCGGCGGCCUGUUAAGUCGAACGUGAAAUCCCCGGGCUCAACCCGGGAACUGCGUCCGAUACUGGCAGGCUUGAAUCCGGGAGAGGGAUGCGGAAUUCCAGGUGUAGCGGUGAAAUGCGUAGAUAUCUGGAGGAACACCGGUGGCGAAGGCGGCAUCCUGGACCGGCAUUGACGCUGAGGCGCGAAAGCCAGGGGAGCAAACGGG